rnacentral:rRNA from 1 species
AUGCUGGACCUGGACGGCCAUAUCAAGUGUCCACCGAGGAGCAACUGCGCACAUACAUGCUCAUAUCCUUUUGAGAAAGGCGUGGCCGACAACAACCCCACCAUGGCUGCCAUAUCAAGUGUCACCGAGGAGCAACUGCGCAGGACUAAUACCGACUUCGGCACCGAUGGCGUGGUGGAUUACAAGAAAUACCUCGUCAUCUCUAUCGGGAAGAAGAAAGAGGUCAAGCUUGCACAAGUUGAAGCAAAGCGUGAAGAAGCAAAGCGCAAGGCCGAGUUGGAGGAGAGGAUGAUCAAGCUCAAAGAGGCAAAGGUAUGGAAAGAACUCACGGUGGAAGAGAAAGAGCACAAGAUGAUGUCCAAGAAGGACAUGGAUGAAGACCAAUUGCAAUGGUGGAAGGACUACAAGGAAGACAUCGCGGAAAGGAAGAGGAUGUUCCGUGUUGCGUCCUCUACUUUUCAAGGUGACACUCCGAUGAGUAGUUGUGGUGAUGGCGGUGUGUACGACUCCACCGUGCCGAUGGAGAUUCUUGAUGGAGCCCGCUUAUGGUCUAUGAGAUGGCGCCGAGGUGCAAUUUUUGGGUGA